GGAAAAAAGGGGUUCUAUUUUACCUUUUGUUCUUUCCUUCCGAGGUUUAAACACGGAAAAUUUCGGUUUAUAAUAAUAGAUUUCCGACUCAAAUAUGUUGUAGUAUCUCUGUAGAAGUGUCUGAACAAUUCAGAAUGGAGCUCUUGAAAAUUUUUGCUAUCGUUGUUCUAGCCAUGGUUGCUUUUGUUGGCGUAACUUAUGCCGCACCCUUAGAGGAAAAAUCAUUUUGGGAUAUACCACCAAAGGGAUUAGAUCAUUGGAAGGAUGUUUUGGCAGAUGAUUAAUGUUUAAUGAAGGUCUGAAAAGUCCUGUGAAUUUGUGAAAAAUAUAAAUUCACACAUUG